rnacentral:rRNA from 1 species
UACGGAGGGUGCAAGCGUUACUCGGAAUUACUAGGCGUAAAGGGCAGGUAGGUGGUUCGGUAAGUCUGUUGUGAAAUCUCCCGGCUUAACUGGGAGAGGUCAACAGAAACUGCCGGGCUUGAGUAUAGGAGAGGGUACUGGAAUUCCCGGUGUAGCGGUGAAAUGCGCAGAGAUCGGGAGGAACACCAAUGGCGAAAGCAGGUACCUGGACUAUUACUGACACUCAGCUGCGAAAGCUAGGGGAGCAAACAGG